rnacentral:lncRNA from 1 species
GGAGCUAGGAUGCCCCAUCACAGCUAAGAAGAGGGGGGAGGAUCACUUGUAAGAAAAGCCAUAGAGCUGAUGCAAGAGGCUUCUAACAUCUAUUCCAGUUCUGGAACUCCACAACUCCUGUGCACCUGGACUGAAAGUAACCACAGAAGGAGCCAGGUCUGAGGCACGCAGUGUCAUGUGUCAUCUAAGGAAAACCCAGCAGCUCCACUCUGAACCAAC